ensembl:lncRNA
AAGAGGAAAAGGAAAGAGGGGCUGCAGCUGUUGAGGGGAAGAAGAGAGAGGACAACAGAGCCGAACCCAAUGCUGCCAUUGCACUGCGCUUCAUGAGAACCCACCUCAUUUCUCCAGGAAACUGGGGGUGACUGAUGCAAAGUUCAGUGGGAGGAGCUGACCCACAUACUCCUGUGAAAGCUGGAAAGUAAAGAAGUGGAGAGUGGGCUUACUGCCGGGCAUAGGAGUGAGUGGAUGCAAAUUCUCUGAAGCCUUGUCCUAGGGAAGAUUCAGCCAAUGCACAAACGGCUCAGUGAACAACCAUUCCAGGUUGCCCGGGACUGGAGAAUUUCCUGGGAUACAGGCCUUUCAGUGUUAAAACCAGGCAAAUGGGGACGGCUGGGCGGCCUGUUCACCGUGCUACCUUCCACAGAGGAUCACCACAAAGACGCAAGGACAAGCAUGACAAAGUUUACCCAUGAUGGUGGGGCAGAUGCAGCUUCAGCUGUGAAACCCACAGCGCAGCAGCAGCAGCAGCAGCAGAAAGUAUUAGAGAAUGAAGCCCUAGAACAUGGAACAAAUGCUGCGUGGACCCAAGCAUCUCGUGUACAAACUCUCCUGAAGACGGAUGUAAGAAAUAACAGGAUACGUGAAAUGGCCUCAAAUGAUGUGUAAAGUAUAUACUUAAAUAUAAUGAUGAUUCAGAAGAGGAGAUCAUCGACAGCUAGAGAAACUGGAGAUCGUGGUAGAGCAUUGAAGGAUGGCUCAGACUGAGAGAACUUUCCAAGUAUGGGAAGAGAUGAAAGUGGAAAAAAAUUAAAAAAGACAGGAAGCACAGAGUGGAGGACGAAGAGGCUGAGCUGACAAUUAUUGUAUGUUCACUAUGACACAUGCAGUGUCCUAUGUAAAUGAUGAAAUGCAUUUCAUUCUGGUGGGGACUCUUUAUGGAAGGUAAUUUUAUUGCCCCAUUUUAGAAAUCAGGAGAGAAGCUUAGAGAAGUUGAGUAAUUUGCCCAGAGCUUCGGAAUAAUCAUGUUUCAGUGCAAAGAGUCUGGCUUCAGAGCCUACGCUCGUGUGCAGCAGGCCCCGGUUCAUCCUGAGCUGUGCCCAAACCAGGCAGAGAAGCAAUUUCGGGGGAAUUCUGGAAGACUCUGUUAUUUAGGCAGUGACAUGUAGACCUAUGCGUUACAAAGUGAUUCCUUAACCUAGAGAAGAUGCGAUUGUUGGUAGAUCUAUGUGUAUCAGAGCAAGGCCAUUUUAUCUAUUUGAUACAUACAGUGUCUAAGCCCUUCACAGUUUUUGAAAGCCUAUGAAAAUGCAUGUGUUAUGAGAUGUAGUGGCUUCAGAAUAUUAAAACAGUAUAAACUGCCUUUAAAAUGUAAUUCUAAUGCUCACUACCCAUUUGAAAUUCAACUUUCAUAUAUGCUAAUAUAAUGUUAAGAAGGACUCCUGAAGUUCCUUAUAUGCAAAAAAAAACCAGGAUUAAGUAUGCAUAAUGUUGCAACAAAAUAUAAAGUCAUUUACUAGUGAUGCUUUAAAACUUGUGGGAGGCAUCUACUGUACAAAUUGUUAUUUUUUUCAGAAAAAUUAUCUGAAAUUUGGGUAAAAGGUACAAAGGUGGGGUAAAUCUUUUCAAUAUCACAUGGGCAAAGGCCAUUCAAUGAUCAUCUAGAAGAAUGUACUUAGUUGGUCUCAUUAUUUAUUAUUGAUUAGAGGUCCCAGACUUAAUGAGGUCACUUAACUCAUAGAUUUUUGUUUAGCAAAGGUGAAAAUGAUUCCUGUUCAGUAAAAUAAAUGCUGCCAAAUUCUUAUGACUUGUUGGACC